UACGAAGGGGGCUAGCGUUGUUCGGAAUUACUGGGCGUAAAGCGCGCGUAGGCGGACCUGUAAGUCAGGGGUGAAAGCCCGAGGCUCAACCUCGGAACUGCCUUCGAUACUGCGGGUCUCGAGUCCGGGAGAGGUGAGUGGAAUUCCUAGUGUAGAGGUGAAAUUCGUAGAUAUUAGGAAGAACACCAGUGGCGAAGGCGGCUCACUGGCCCGGUACUGACGCUGAGGCGCGAAAGCGUGGGGAGCAAACAGG
rnacentral:rRNA from 1 species